CUGGAAAUGAUGCAUAAAUAUAUAUCCUGACUUCCUGUGAAGUAUUUGUAUUCAUACUGUCUGAUCCAG